rnacentral:misc_RNA from 1 species
CUCACCCCUCUCCCUCCUUCUCUCGUUUUGUGCUUUCAGGGCAACGCAACAUUCUCUGUCUCCGUGCGCGACAAGGGCAUCACGCGGCAGGCCGCACACACACACACACACACUACUUCCUACACGCCAGCCCUUCCCUUUCUUUGAGCGGGCGAUGGAGCCGCAACUGACCCGAAAGGAGGUAGACGUUGUUCUUGCUGAGCAGGAGCUGCAGGGCCAGCUGGCUCGUGUCUACUACAACCUCGUUUUGCGGCAGCGCACCUACCGUGCCCAUCUCGACUACAUCAAGAAGAUUCAUGGCAUGAUACGUGACAUGGAAGGUCGGGUCGAGGCGCUAACGCCGUUUCACGCGUCUAGCUGGUCGUGGCGCUUGGAUGGAAGCCCUCGCGGUGACACAACAUAGUCCUACCGCACUUUAGACUACAUGGCUCCGCGCCUGCGUCGUCGCUGAUGUGCGUCCUCAGCCUCUGUCGUGCGCCCCUCUCCUCAUCAGCACUGCUCUCUCUUUUUCGUUGUUUUUUUUUUCUAUCGGUUGCAUCUCAGGUGAUGGCGAGCCGCUGUCUCUUCUUUCCUUUGCUUCCUGUCCUGCACGUGCGAGGACGAAAGGGUCCUUUGUGAUCGCUGCUGCUGCUCCUCUUGCAGUUGCGGCUCUUUUUCUGUCUCUCUGCAUGGCACGCGCCAGCACAUCUGCCUGCCUGCUGCCACCUUCUGCUAUGUCUUGUCGUCCGUCUUCUAUCGCCAGCCCACAGAAAAUGAACAAGCUGGAAAGAACGCAGAAUACUGGGACGAGAGCACCCUUCUUUGUGAAACACCUCUGCUGCGCCAGCGACCAAUGUUGCUCGCUAAUGCAUCUCCAUGGGGUGCAAAUCAUCGCGUCCUUCCCUCCUUCUCGCCCAUUCGUUUGUUACCUUCCUUUGUGUCCUCACAUGCACACACACACACACACACACACACACACACACGAACACCAACUACGCCAG